AUUGAACGCUGGCGGCAUGCCUUACACAUGCAAGUCGAACGGCAGCGGGGACUUCGGUCCGCCGGCGAGUGGCGAACAGGUGAGUAAUGUAUCGGAACGUACCAUUCAGUGGGGGAUAACUACCCGAAAGGGUAGCUAAUACCGCAUAUUCUGUGAGCAGGAAAGCAGGGGAUCGCAAGACCUUGCGCUGAUUGAGCGGCCGAUAUCAGAUUAGCUAGUUGGUGAGGUAACGGCUCACCAAGGCUACGAUCUGUAGCGGGUCUGAGAGGAUGAUCCGCCACACUGGGACUGAGACACGGCCCAGACUCCUACGGGAGGCAGCAGUGGGGAAUUUUGGACAAUGGGCGCAAGCCUGAUCCAGCCAUGCCGCGUGAGUGAAGAAGGCCUUCGGGUUGUAAAGCUCUUUCGGCCGGGAAGAAAUCGCAUCAGCUAAUACCUGGUGUGGAUGACGGUACCGGAAUAAGAAGCACCGGCUAACUACGUGCCAGCAGCCGCAGUAAAAA
rnacentral:rRNA from 1 species